rnacentral:lncRNA from 1 species
GUAGCCAGGAGAUGGAGAGCGAUGGGGAUGAAUCCCAGGCCAGCGAGGAAGAGGAUGACAAUGACUCAAGAGAUUCCAUGAGUCUUUCCAGCGAAUCAGAGGAUUCCCAGAAGGGGGCGCCGGUGGUCAAGGCCAGGGGAGCCCCAGGGGGACGUGUCAGGAGCAGGGGGCCAGCGGGGAUCCCAAAGUGGCAGCUGGGCGUCAGGACCAGCCUCCUCCCCGCCAGAGUGCAGCGAAGGGGGUGGAGGUUUCAGUGUAUCAGGGGAAGCGGCUCCGGCAGCAGAGAAAGGAGGGAGGUCGGAGCAAGCUACCCUCCCGGAAGUGGAGGGGAGUAGUGAAGGGAGUAGUGUAGCUGUUAAAAGGAAGGUUAGAGGUUGGGCUCGCGCGCCAAGUUCAAAUGUAGAGGCGCGCGGAAGUACAGGGAGCCCGGAGGAGGGGCCAGGUCCCAAAGCCCGCAGGAGGGGGCAAGAGCAGUCUGAUUCCGCGUCAGAGGAAUCCAGGAGGGGCGAAACCCCAGCGGGCAGAAAGACCCUGCGGAAAAGGAAAGAGAGAAAGAGGUGGAGCAGCGCAAGCCUCUUAAACUGGUGCAGGGGAGGGACGGAUUCAGAGGGGACUUCAGCGGUCUAAGCGUAGGAGACGUAGGGCUGCGCGCCUCGGAUGUGAAGCAAACAAUGAACUGCAAUAAACACUUUUGUAUAUAAGAAGAGAUAGGCGUUGGUCUUUUGUGAGCUGAGACUUGAGGCAGCCCUGACAGUAAGUCCCCUCUCCAAAAACCGCAAAAAGGUUUUUUUUGCAAAGCUCACGGAGUUUGGCAGACAUGACUACUGAGGAACAGAUAACGACCCUGCAAAACGCAGUUACUGAACUCUCCGUUGCAGUACGGGUCUCUCAGAAGACAGUUGCCGACGCAGAAGCGCGAUGCCAGGAUCUGCAAGCCAGGUGGGAUCGGGCGUGCAAAGAGGGGUUCCCGUGGUCCAGAUCAGAGGGAAUCGGACUCGGACGGAGGGGGGGCAAUUUAGUAGCCCACUUCGAUGGGAACCUGAAGCAUUAUCCCAAUUUCAGAGCAGACGUCGUAUACGCGCUGCAUUUGCUUCGAAAAGACUUCAAAGAUGAGGAGGAGAAAGUAGGCUUUAUUGUGUCCCAUUUGCAUGGGGAAGCUAGAACCUGGUUACGCAAUUUGUGGCGCGAAGAUGGUCUUGCCCGCAGGGACUCUGACGAAUUUAUCAAAGCCAUGGACGCUUGCUUCCAAUCUACCGUUGACGUUGAUGUGGCGCGCCAGGAGAUGCAUGGAUUGCGGCAGGGCAAGGCUACAGUGCGUCAGUACCAUUCUCGCUUUUUUGCAUUGCUGAAUGUGCUGGGCUGGGAAAAGGACUCCCUGGCAGUGAGAGACUUGUUCUGGGAGGGGCUUCAUGGCUCAGUAAAAGAUGAGCUGGCUAGGGGAGACAGACCUCAAACCCUAGCAGACGUCGUGCAGAGGGCACUCACGAUAGGGGUGCGCCACGAAGAACGCCCUUGGCACAGUGAGGAGGGGCGUCACGUCCGCCCACCAGCUAGAGCGCCUCCUUUUCUUCCCAGGGACCUGGGACGUACAAAUCCCUCGCCUAUGCUGAAGGGGGGGGAAGAACCAAUGGAGCUGGGUGGUGCAAAGGCUCAGACAGCUGCCGGAGCCUCAGCGUCCGGAGCAGUCAAGGCGAAGCCUCCUAGAGGGACCAGGAAGUGUUACAUCUGUGACAGUGCACAGCACAUGGCUAAAGAGUGUCCCCAGAGGCUCCAGAAGCACACUGCAGCCUUAGCAACAGUAACAGGGGAAGCGUUCCAAGGAGAACAGUUUCAGGGAAACGAGAAUGCCUGGCUGGAAGCAGAGAUGCUGGGGCUCCGCCAGGCAAGUCAGUGAAGCAGUCCCCAGCGCUUUUGCAGCCUACAGACCCCUUACCACCCAAGCCAGUGGUGCAGCUCACUGCUACUCUCCAGCUACCUAAUGGACUCACCCUGGAAGUCCCCAUUACGAUUGACUCAGGGAGCAACGCAGACUUCGUGGGGAUGCAGUUCAUCAAGCAGCAUCGCAUAGCGCUACUACCAGCCACGCUGCCUCUGAACGUGGUCACGGUAGAUGGCAGGAAGUUGCUGGGUGGGCAAGUGGUACAACAGACGCCACCCAUGCUGCUGAAAAUUGGGAAUCAUCGCGAGGUCAUCAGUUUCAAUGUCACCCAACUGUCAGACACGCCUAUAGUGUUAGGCAUGAGUUGGCUGGAUAGACACAGCCCAUCAUUAGCGUGGUACCAGCGGCAGCUCACCUUUGGCUCGUCCUACUGCGCACAACAUUGCAUCCAGACCGGCCAGGAGGAGGAGGGCCAGGAGGAAGGGCAACAGUUGCAUCUAGGCAUGGUGCAGGCAGUGCCCCACAAGUACAAGGGGUUUUUGGAGGUCUUCUGCGAAAAGGAAGCUGACCAAUUACCACCCCACCGGCCCUACGACUGUGCAAUUGACCUCUUACCAGGGGCGACGCUACCGACUGCGAAGCUGUAUUCCAUGUCUGAAGAUGAGAUGCAGGAACUCAGGGAGUUCAUAGAUCACAAUUUGAAGCGGGAUUCAUCCGAGAAUCCAAGGCAGUGGGGGGCAGUCCUGUGUUUUUCGUGAAGAAGAAAGACACGCCCCAAAAACGGCUCAUUGUGGACUAUAGGGCCAUAAACUCGAUGACAAAGCCCAAGGCCUUCCCCAUGCCCAAGAUUGACGACCUGCUCGCGACGGUGAGGAAGGGGAGGAUCUUCACCAAGUUGGAUCUACGCGGAGCAUACAAUCUAAUACGCAUGAGGGAAGGUGACGAGUGGAAGACGGCCAUGUUCACGCCGCUGGGCACCUAUGAAUACAGAGUUAUGCCGUUUGGUCUCCAAAAUGGCUCCCACUGUUUCCAAGCAUUCAUGCACCACGUGCUAGCAGGACUCCUCUACAAGAAGUGCGUAUGCUUCCUCGACGACAUUCUGAUCUUCUCAGAAUCGCAGGAGACUCACGAGAGAGACGUAAAGGAGGUCCUGCAGAGGCUACGGGAGCACAGACUCUACGCCAAACUGGAGAAGUGCCAGUUCGACGUGACGGAGGUGGAUUUCCUGGGCUACCGGCUGUCCGACAAGGGACUAGCCAUGGACAGCGCCAAAGUCCGCGCGGUGUUGGACUGGAAUAGCCCGCGCAAUCGGAAGGAGGUCCAGAGGUUCGUCGGCUUCGCCAACUUUUACCGCAAGUUCAUCAGGGGUUUCGCGAAAGAGACGGCAGCUAUCACGGACACCCUCAGUUCCAAGAAGAAAAAGUUCACCUGGACGGACCAGGCGGAGCAGUCCUUCAGGAGACUUAAGAGCCUCUUCGCGUCCGAAGACCAGCUGCUACACGUGAAUCCCGGCAGGCCCAUGCGGGUUGAGACUGACGCAUCUGACAGAGCAGUGGGGGCCGUCCUCUUGCAGGAAGAUCCGCAAGGGAACUGGAGGCCCUGCGCUUUCUAUUCCCGGAAGCUCAGCAAGUCGGAACAGAACUACACCAUCUGGGACAGGGAGUUGUUGGCCAUCCACGCGGCUUUCAAGGCGUGGCGGCACUUCCUCAUCGGAGCCAAGCACACCGUGCAGGUCCGCACGGACCACAAGAACCUAGAGUAUUGGCGCACGGCGAAGCUCCAGAGCCAGAGGCACAUGAGAUGGGCGGAGUUCUUUGCGGAUUUCGAUUUCCGGAUAGAGUAUAUCCCGGGAGACAACAACGUCAUAGCGGAUGCGCUCUCCAGGAAACCGCAGUAUCUCGAGGAAGCGGCACCAGUGGCAGCCAGGCACAUUUUCGCACCGCAAGCGUGGGCGUGCGCUUCCGCCGCCGUGGACCUGGACGCGGUACGACGCGCGCUACAGACGGAUCCGUUCGCACAAUCCAAGAUGGAGGAGGUGCGAAGAGGGACAGCAAAGGACGGCGAAUUCCAGAUACGCGACGGCCUGCUGACCCGCAAAGGUGCUCUCUACGUGCCGGGAGACGAUCUCCGCGCGAAGGUUUUACAGCAGUUACACGACGCACCCAGCGCGGGUCACUUCGGCAAAGAAAAGACGGCGGACUUAGUAGCCAGAGACUUUUGGUGGCCCCAGAUGCGGGGAGAGGUCGCGGAUUACGUCGCCAGGUGUGACACUUGUCAGAGGUCCAAGCCAGUGCACAAGAAGCCAGCGGGAUUGCUGGAACCGCUGGAGACGCCACUACAGCCGUGGGAAAGGGUGGCGCUGGACUUUGUUACUGAUCUGCCCAGUUCGCGGGGCAAGACGGCGGUGCUUGUGGUUGUAGAUCUGUUCACCAAGAUGGCGCACUUCAUUCCUUGCGCGAAGGUGGCAACAGCGGAACAGACCGCCAAGCUGUUCAUAGACCACGUGUUCCGGGUGCACGGCUUACCGCGGUCCAUCCUGUCCGACCGGGGUCGCCAAUUCAUUUCCAGUUUCUGGCAGAAGCUCCUGGGCAUCCUGAAUGUCAAGAUCAACUUAGCGUCGGCGAGACACCCGCAAACCAACGGCCAAGCGGAGAGGGUCAACGCCAUCAUGCAGCAGUACCUGCGAUGUUACGCCAAUCAAAAGCCUGCAACUUGGGUGGACUACUUACCGAUGGCCGAGUUUGCCUACAACAACACGAAGCACGCGUCAACGGGGGUGACACCGUUCUUCGCCAACAAUGGGCGACAUCCCAGAACCUUCCCGGCGUUGGAGACAACGACGCAGGGGAGUCGCAGGGAGCUGAGCAUUUAGCAGCAGAAUUGCAGGAGGUCCACGAGGAGCUACGACGGCACUUGGAACUAGCUAAACACGCCUACAAAGUGCAGGCAGACAGGCACAGGAGGGCAGGAGAAGACAUCCAGGUGGGGGACUGGGUAUGGUUAGCAGCCCAGGCGGUGCCGGCCAAGUCGUUAGCUAAGAAGAAGCUAGGACACAAACAGCUAGGGCCAUACCAAGUUGAGGGCAGGAUCAAUCCCGUAGCUUUUCGGUUGACCCUCCCAGAAGAUUCCAGAAUGCACCCGGUCUUUCAUAGGUCGGUGCUUACACCCUACAAGGCCCCACACAGAUUUCAGGAGCCAGGGACGGCACCAGACCCACGUAGAAAGUCACCCGGGGGGAAGUCACCGAGGACCACGACACUCAACGAGGUCACGGAAAUUCUGGACUCGAGAUGGGGGGAGGAGGGAGUGGAAUACCUCCUCGCCAGGGAAGGUACCCCGGCCAGCGCCAACAGUUGGGUGCCAGAUUAUGCUCUGGAGGAACCUCUUCUUAAAGACGAGUUCCAUGCACUCUUCCCACACAGGCCCAUGCCAGCGGAGUAUUUUGACGACUGGCUUUUACACCCACACUUUCAGGCAGCACCUUCCGGGGUUCUCCUCCGCAGAGGAGACCACGCCGGAAUCGAGCCCUCCAAGGGGAUCGUGCUCGGGGGUGGACACGGACCGCUCUUAUUGGUGGGACGAUCAACCAGAAGUGGGGUGGCGAAGGGGGCCUUGGCAAGCAGCAUCGCCUGAAGUAACAGGGGGAGGGAAGGGUUUGGAUGUGUUGGGGGAGGACCCCGGUUUCGAGCACUCAUACACUGAACUGGAAGCAGAGGAGAUCGACGUCGACGAACUGUCUCCAGCAUCCACCCCCGCUACAACGGAGCUCCCGGAACCUGCGCCCGAGCAGCGGGAGGGGGGAAGGGGGGGCUUCGAGGGGGGGAUGGAUGUCAGGGGUUCAGGGACAGAGGCACAGGGUAGGCAGGAGAUGGAGAGCGAUGGGGAUGAAUCCCAGGCCAGCGAGGAAGAGGAUGACAAUGACUCAAGAGAUUCCAUGAGUCUUUCCAGCGAAUCAGAGGAUUCCCAGAAGGGGGCGCCGGUGGUCAAGGCCAGGAGCCCCAGGGGGACGUGUCAGGAGCAGGGGGCCAGCGGGGAUCCCAAAGUGGCAGCUGGGCGUCAGGACCAGCCUCCUCCCGCCAGAGUGCAGCGAAGGGGGUGGAGGUUUCAGUGUAUCAGGGAAGCGGCUCCGGCAGCAGAGAAAGGAGGGAGGUCGGAGCAAGCCACCCUCCCGGAAGGGGAGGGGAGUAGUGAAGGGAGUAGUGUAGCUGUUAAAAGGAAGGUUAGAGGUUGGGCGCGCGCGCCAAGUUCAAAUGUAGAGGCGCGCGGAAGUACAGGGAGCCCGGAGGAGGGGCCAGGUCCCAAAGCCCGCAGGAGGGGGCAAGAGCAGUCUGAUUCCGCGUCAGAGGAAUCCAGGAGGGGCGAAACCCCAGCGGGCAGAAAGACCCUGCGGAAAAGGAAAGAGAGAAAGAGGUGGAGCAGCGCAAGCCUCUUAAACUGGUGCAGGGGAGGGACGGAUUCAGAGGGGACUUCAGCGGUCUAAGCGUAGGAGACGUAGGGCUGCGCGCCUCGGAUGUGAAGCAAACAAUGAACUGCAAUAAACACUUUUGUAUAUAAGAAGAGAUAGGCGUUGGUCUUUUGUGAGCUGAGACUUGAGGCAGCCCUG